rnacentral:rRNA from 1 species
AACGCGAAGAACCUUACCUGGGUUUGACAUCCCUGGACCGCCUGAGAGAUCAGGCUUUCGUAGCAAUACGACCGGGAGACAGGUGCUGCAUGGCUGUCGUCAGCUCGUGUGGUGACAUGUUGGGUUAAGUCCCGCAACGAGCGCAACCCCUGUCCUUAGUUGCCAGCAUUCAGUUGGGCUCUCUAAGGAGACUGCCGUGGUGAACACGGAGGAAGGUGGGGAUGACGUCAAGUCCUCAUGGCCUUUAUAUCCAGGGCGACACACGUGAUACAAUGGACGGUACAGAGGGACGCCAAGGGGCGACCCGGAGCCAAUCCCAAAAAGCCGUUCUCAGUUCGGAUUGGAGUCUGCAAUUCGACUCCAUGAAGUUGGAAUCGCUAGUAAUCGCGGAUCAGCACGCCGCGGUGAAUACGUUCCCGGGCCUUGUACACACCGCGAGC